rnacentral:rRNA from 1 species
GCAAGUCGAACGCUUUGUGGUUCAACUGAUUUGAAGAGCUUGCUCAGAUAUGACGAUGGACAUUGCAAAGAGUGGCGAACGGGUGAGUAACACGUGGGAAACCUACCUCUUAGCAGGGGAUAACAUUUGGAAACAGAUGCUAAUACCGUAUAACAAUGACAACCGCAUGGUUGUUAUUUAAAAGAUGGUUCUGCUAUCACUAAGAGAUGGUCCCGCGGUGCAUUAGCUAGUUGGUAAGGUAAUGGCUUACCAAGGCGAUGAUGCAUAGCCGAGUUGAGAGACUGAUCGGCCACAAUGGGACUGAGACACGGCCCAUACUCCUACGGGAGGCAGCAGUAGGGAAUCUUCCACAAUGGGCGAAAGCCUGAUGGAGCAACGCCGCGUGUGUGAUGAAGGGUUUCGGCUCGUAAAACACUGUUGUAAGAGAAGAAUGACAUUGAGAGUAACUGUUCAAUGUGUGACGGUAUCUUACCAGAAAGGAACGGCUAAAUACGUGCCAGCAGCCGCGGUAAUACGUAUGUUCCAAGCGUUAUCCGGAUUUA